CCAAACAAAAUCUUAGAUGAAUUCGUAAGAUCUAACCAUAGUUGAUGCCUAUUUUUCCAUUUGUGUUCAAGCAAUAAUAAGCAUAUAAAAAAUAAAGUGGGUUUGAUGUGAGUUCGUAAAACAAAAAUUGAUAAGAAUCUAUCGUUAGCAAUGAUGCGUCUAGCCAUUCAGUAAAUCUGCUGCUGUAGGUAGAUGGAAAGGCCUAUGCUUGUUCCGGGACAUGGUCUGCAUCAACAGUUUUAUUCGGCCGGUGGUGAUGUUUACCGCUUCCAACUGUUGUAGUGUAGCCCUUCUGAAGCCACAUUUUCCUCAUUGAUUUUAUGGUUGGAAUGUAAGUCUCUAUUCUCUGCCAGCUGUUCGAUGUAAUUCCUAAUACAAAAAAGUAUGUAGAAGAUAGUUUUGGACUUGCCAUGAUGUGAUCUAUAGAGUCCAAAAUUCAUCAGAGUCAAGCUUGGUGCUUGAAAUUUCUGUCUACUUGGCCUCUUUGUGCCUAUUGAAUAGGUAGAACAACCAAUAGAAUCGAUCUUCCCCCAUCCACUUAUCUUUUCCCUCAUCAAAAGAGAAGUGUUUUAAUGGUGUGACCUGUGAAUAUGUUAUUAAAUUGUACCUUUCUGGUGGUUGAUUUAUUUCACUGCAUUUGUCAUAACACUAGUACUUAGGGGUCGUUUGGUACAAAGAUUAAUAAUGCAGAGAUUAGUAAUGCAGAAAUUAGUAAUGCAAGGAUUAGUAAUACAUGAAUUAUUUUUAAUCAAGUGUUUGGUUGAUCGCUUCUCAUCAAAUCUUGUGUUUGGUUUAAAACUCUACAAUUUUUUCCCCCCAAUUUUACCCUUGAAUUAUUAUGUUUUCUAUUACAUGUAAUUGCCAUAUUUAUUGCAGUUUAAAACUUGAAUAUGAAGUUCACGAUCCAAUGCUUACCUCCCUCUUCUCUUAACAAAAUAGGAAAAAACAGUAGCCAACAAGAUCAACUUUGCUUUGUCAUGUAAUCCUCUUACCUACUAAUAUUUAAAAAAAAAAAAAAACUAAAGAACUUGCAGAAAGAUCAAAACUUUAUUGAUUUUAAUGACAAAAUUUGUGAGGAAAUAUCAGUAUUGCAGAUCAAAUAGUAGUAGUGUUACAAGACGAGAGAGGAGAAAAAUGUUUUGAGUUUGUUUCAAAGUUACAAAAUGUUGUGCUCUGGAAUUGAUGAGAGGGAGUUUUUAGGACGAGAAAAUUAGAGAAAAUUUCAGAAGAUCAGAUUUUUUAAUUCAAAAAUCUGUACAUAUUUUUUUCUUGUCCAAAAGAAAUUGUAUCACUUUGAUGAAAACAGUAAAGUCGCCAAAGAGCACUACGUGAAUUUCUUUAUCAAUUAUAAAGGGUGUCUAAGGAAAUAGAAGGGCAAUUCAGUCAUUUUGUUUCCUUAUCCAAGUAUUACUAAACCUGGGAUUAGUAAUCCCUAGAUAUUUUUGGUAUUAGAUAAGACUACAUAUGGUGUAUUAAGUUAUCCAUGUAUUAGGUGUGUUUGAGUUGAAUUGUGCUACCAAACAUUGUAUUAAGUGCAAUAAAUUUUAAUCCAAGGACUAUUUUAAUUAAUACAUCCUACCAAACGGCUCCUUAAUGUUUGAAACUAAAAGGUCCUUUUGUUAGGAACAAUGGUGCAUCAGCAUUUGGUUGCAUUUGCCCUUUUUGAUUCGCUCUUGCUGAAGAGUGCAAUGACUGUGGUGUAAAUAUGUUAGGAGAUUGCUACAUGUUAUUACGUUUUGCAUUCAUUUGUUGAAAAUACAGCACCAAUUUUUCUUCGUGAAAAUCAUGACUUGUUGUUAACCAUGUUGUUUAUAGAGAAUGGAUUUUUUGUGGAGUAUAAAUUUCUUAAAUGCAACUAAAUCCUACAACGUUUCUUAUUUAUAGCUUUUUAUCUUGUCAUUCACAAUAUAUAGGUUUAUCCAAUCAAAGCAAGGUGAAAAAAAAUGUGCCUUUCCAUCCAAAUGUUUGGACUCUCAUACAUUUUCUGGACAAAAAUCCAGUAUUUGUUUCCUUUUACAUUGACAAGAAAGAAGUAUCACACUUGAAAGUCUUUUGCAGCAACAUAAUUGCUGACAAAAAACUGCUAUGCUAAACUUCAAUCGUUUUCUGAUACAGAGAGCUGUAUCUCCACCGUUCUUUCUCCACAAAGUCUGCGUCAAGAAACUGAGCUAUGAAUGUCCAAAGCCGGUAAACAUCUUCAAAGUUGGCCAGAAAGCUAAGGGCAAUG
rnacentral:lncRNA from 1 species